CUUCUAUCGCACACAGUGCCACCCCUUUGCCUUUUCUGCCCUGCCCAUCCCUCCUGAAGAGCCUGUAACCAUCCAACAAGGCACUCCAGUCAAAGGACUCAUCCCACCAGACUAUAUCUAGUCUCUCUUCUAAAACUCCACCUGGCUCUGUGGACUACUACCUCCUCCUCACACAUGUUCUGAGUGAAACUUUGUAAGGAGACCAGACCAGCACAGUCCCAAAUCCAAGUCAUAAUGCUUUUUAAUUCAGGAUUUUGAAGUGACUCCCUUUUUUUCAUAUUAUCCCCUUCAUAUGAAAGAUCAGAAGAAUUGAACUGCACCACAGCUGAGCAACAUCUUCAAAACUUCAAGUGAAAGAAACAAGAAUGUCCUUAACUCUAAUCUUGUAAGGAACUCACUAAGAACAAACUGCAAGGCCAAUAUUUUAUGAUACAGUGUGUAUUAGGAAACAAGAUGAAGCAGCUUUGGUUUCCAGUGAAAUGGAAGGAUAGCAGCAGGUCUACAGGAAGAAUUCAAGAUGCUUGCCAUAAUCCAUCUACCACAUACAGCAAACCAGGAUUUUUUCCAGGUUUAUUCAGAGCUAAUGGAAGUCUGCAACAUACAGUGAAACCUUUGUCUUGAACACCCCAUGGUGAUUUUAAUGGAGGAACAGUUGUUCACAAAGAAUCUCAAAUAACACCACGAAGCAGCGUGUUGCCAGCCGUUUGGAUGGACUAUCCUAUGGAAUACCAUUGUGGGCCAAGGAACUACCCUUUUCUCCCCUUACUCAGCUCUCUGUGGAACAAGAUACAGGCAGAGGCUGAGAAAAAAACCCCAGGGCCUAUCCACGACUUUACUUGUCUGCUACGAAAUGUGCAACCAGCUUCCUGGAUCUUGAGAUGUGCGGAAUGGAGUCCCCCAAGCUGUUUCAGGGAAGGCACCUAAAGCCAGGACUAACACCUCACCUCGCUCUGUACAUAGAGCCUCAAAUUUCCUUCC